rnacentral:rRNA from 1 species
CAGCAGUAGGGAAUCUUCCGCAAUGGACGAAAGUCUGACGGAGCAACGCCGCGUGAGUGAUGAAGGCUUUCGGGUCGUAAAACUCUGUUGUUAGGGAAGAACAAGUACAAGAGUAACUGCUUGUACCUUGACGGUACCUAACCAGAAAGCCACGGCUAACUACGUGCCAGCAGCCGCGGUAAUACGUAGGUGGCAAGCGUUAUCCGGAAUUAUUGGGCGUAAAGCGCGCGCAGGCGGUUUCUUAAGUCUGAUGUGAAAGCCCACGGCUCAACCGUGGAGGGUCAUUGGAAACUGGGGAACUUGAGUGCAGAAGAGAAAAGCGGAAUUCCACGUGUAGCGGUGAAAUGCGUAGAGAUGUGGAGGAACACCAGUGGCGAAGGCGGCUUUUUGGUCUGUAACUGACGCUGAGGCGCGAAAGCGUGGGGAGCAAACAGGAUUAGAUACCUGGGGUAGUCCA